GAUGAACGCUGGCGGCGUGCUUAACACAUGCAAGUCGAACGAAGUGGCGAACGGGUGAGUAACGCGUAAUCAACCUGCCCUUCAGAGGGGGACAACAGUUGUAAACGACUGCUAAUACCGCAUACUGUAGGAGGGGAUUUCUUGUGAUUAGCUAGUGGGGGGGGUAACGGCCCACCAAGGCCAUGCUCAGUAGCCGGACUGGGGGGAUGAGCGGGCCAAUUGAGACUGGGACACGGCCCAGACCCCUACGGGAAGCAGCAGUGGGGAAUCUUCCGAAAUGGACGGAAGUCUGACGGGGAAACGCCGCGUGAGUGAUGACGGGCUUCGGGUUGUAAAGCUCUGUUUAUCGGGACACGGUACCGGAAUAGAAAGCCACGGCUAACUACGUGCCAGCAGCCGCGGUAAUAC
rnacentral:rRNA from 1 species